AAGGGGCGGGGCCUGUGGAAAGGGCGGUCUGGCGGGGAGGCCCCGGUGAGGCUGCGGGGGCGUGGGGUCAGGAGUUCCCGGUUGGUGCGGCGGUCCCGGCCGACAGUCUGUGACACCUCCGCCCAGCCGCGGCGGGGAGAGGCCCAUCGGGGCGCGCCUGCUGCCCCUGGCGGCCCUCUCGAGGGGCUUUGGCAGGAAGAACGCCCAGAUCCUCCGCUCCCGGAGGGCGCAAUCCCCGGGGCGUCGUAGCAGCACAAUCAGAUCAGCCGAACCAGGCCAGCUUGUCUGGUGCGAUGUCGCCCCAGACUGACCUCCUUUCGGCCAUGCAGGGUGGGAGGAGAGGAUCAAGUGAAGUAACGUCUGUGAAAACCCUUCGUGGAUAACGCAUCCGCCUCCACACCUAAGUUCCCGACAUUAAAAUGGAGACAGCAAAGCCAGCCCUACCUAAUCCUUGGGGCUUGUCCUGAGCUGAGAAAAUGAUGCAAUGUAUGAAAAACUGCUUGGACGGGAAAAAAGUACUGUGUGUUUUUGUAAGAUGUCAUUAAUUGACUUGAGAGUCUGAUUAAAUGCUCUCAAAUAAAAUGGAGGUAUAAAUGAAUGAGUAAAA